rnacentral:rRNA from 1 species
CCUACGGGAGGCAGCAGUAGGGAAUAUUGGACAAUGGGGGAAACCCUGAUCCAGCAAUGCAGCGUGAGUGACGAAGGCCUUAGGGUUGUAAAACUCUUUCAUCGGUGAGGAUAAUGACAGUAGCCGA